rnacentral:lncRNA from 1 species
AAUUCUCAGCAGCUCACACACAGGACAUGCACUUGUCAAUUAGCUUUGAGCUCACACGUCAAAAGAGACAGGUCUGCGGUUUCACAUUGCCCUUCCGGGAGACAACUCAUCUUGGCCAAUAACCAGCAUUAGCCCGGCCACGUCUUCAGCAGAGCCCUUCCUUCUCCUGAUAGUAAGAGGCUGGAUGGGUUUGUCAUCUCUCAUUUGAAGUACCCAUCAGAACACUCUCAGGUCAUCUCUACCCACAGCCCCCUGACCACCAAAAUUUGGGAAAACUCCAGAAAUGCAGAUUUGAUUCAAUUCAAUUCAAUGACAUUUAUGAGAUACCUGCUACGCACAAGGAAAUGCAUUAAAAGUUACCGAAGACACAAGGAUGAAAAAGGCCUGUCCCUUUCCUUCAGGGACUAUAUGGUGAUCUAUAGAAAAAGACAGACACAGACACAAGUAACUACACAAGACUACAAGACUGUGAGUAGGUGCUGUCAAAGGAGACCAACUCCAGGUUGCAUUUACCAAGCGCGUCCUCGGCCUGGAGCCUGCACUGACCACCUGCAGGCGUGCUUUCAUCUCCUUUCACAGCAACUUCGAGAGGCAGUGUUCUCAUUGAGUCCAUUUCACAGAUGAGGAAGCUGAGACUCAAGAGGCCAAGCCGUUUCCCAAGGUCACACAGCUGCCCACAACUGGGAUUUCACCCGCUAGUGUGUCUCCACUCGCUGUUUGAAGACCACUGCUCUAGGCUAGGUCGUCGCUCUCUCGGUGAACCUCGCUUCGGCAGCUCUCUGGCAUCAGACAGUGGAGCUGCUUGCAGAGACCUCCCAGUCCUUUGCUCUUCCUUGCUCACAACCCAGAACAAGCAUCCAGAGGAGCAUUCUAACCUGACCUCUGAUGCGCCACACCGUCCUUUCUUUUGGCCUUCUCUCCUGGUCACCUUCUUUUCCAGCAUCACGAAGCUCCCUCUUUCUCUCCUCUUCCUCAUGGUUUCCUCCCAGUUUUCCAAACUCUGGAAACUUCUUCGUUAUUCAGAGAACAUGACUUGGGACUCCACCACCUUGAGAGAUGAUGGCCAAGAAAUCCAGCUGAUUUCAGUUUAAAGAUUGAGUUUGCGUGCCUGGCCAGCAAGGAGACACUCCAUUUCUGUAAAGGGUUUCGCAGGAAGGAGGGGAGCUGAAUGUUUACUGAGCAGCUACUAGAUGUCUGGAGCUCUCUGUGGAUGCUAAGGGCAUCAUCUCACUCAUUGCUCUCAAGAGCCUCAUAAAACAGGAUCUUAUUACCGCUGUUCCACCAGGAGACUCAGAGAAGAGGUCAGUCACCCACGGCCGAGGAUGAACUCAGGUCGGGUGGGGCUGAGGGGUGGCAAGGCUCACACUGGGCAGGCAGGCCCAGGAGAGAAGAGCCGAUUCUUCCCACAGGGGGCUGUGCAUCCCUCGGGAUGGGCAUCACGGCAGAACAGGUCUCCAGGCAAACAGGCAUCGUUGUGUGAAAGAACAUGGACCAGUCUUCCCAAGGGCUCCUGCACACCCGUCCCAGGAGGAAAUUUCCAAGGCAAAGUCAGGGAGAGAGAUGAGGGAGGUGAAGAAAGAAACGGCGAGAAAGAGGAAAACAGAGCAAGACAGAAGCAGAGAUCAAAGUAGAGGCAAAGAAAACUAUCAUGCCUUUUAAUAGCACAUUUUCUCCAUUGGAAGGUAAACACUUUUUUCACUUUCUAACAUUCUCGAAAUCAAGGUACAGCUUAUAAUCAAUGUCAAGAGAAACUUGUCAGCUUAUGGUACAUCUUACAAUCACGGUGAGCGGGAACAGAGAAAAACAGUGCAGUUCAAGGCCGCCCCUGAGGCUCGCGAGGUGAACAUCACUGGGCCGUCCCAGCUUCCCGGCGGAGCUCGCAGAUUCCUGCAAUUCUGCAGCCUGUUCUGGCAUGUUAUCACAGGGCUUUACACAAUCUGGGUACCAUGCCUUUAGACACGCUGACUUCUGGAAAAGGAAAUUGGGGGGCCAUAAUUAUAUUUUUAUUUGCACAGUCUCACGUAUCUAUUUUCAAAUGUGCGUUCCCAGCAGUUGGGGGCUUUUUUUUUCUUUUCUUUUUGUUUUUGGUUUUUUUUUGCAGUAGCAAUUAACCUAAUAAGCCACCUCUCAUUCCUCUGGUACAUUAACUACCCCAGAGAACAUCAGAGAAACACAGGGCUUUGCAGUCAUUCACGCACCUUCAGAAGCCAGGCCGAACAAUGGGGGUUGUUUUUACUGUGCGAUGCUGGCAAUUAGAGAGAAGAGGCCCCUCAGGUAGCUGUUGCGAAAGGUCCCUUAAUUUGACUCUGUUUCACACAGUCCAAUUUUCAAUAAAAUGAGGCACUUCAGACUGUCCCUUAGGAAAUCACCUCGGAGCCCAUAAUCCCUAGUUCUUCCUGGGGGUUAUUCAGUCUACAGUCCUCCCUUCUGAUCUGUUUGCAUCAAACCAGCCCUCCUUCUUUCCGCGUGCUAUUUACCCAGGGAUGUUUCCAUGACCAGCCUCCGUGCCCCAUGGCAAUAUCCGUCAAGUGCAGCCCUUUCUCCCUCGUUCCAUUGGCACCUCCCUUCUUAUCAUUAUUUUUGAUGAUCUGCCCGAACUUGCUUCUCUUUCCGACUGUCAGUGGAAACCCAAAGCAGUGUUUGAUGGUUUAUUCAUUAUUUACUUAUUUAUUUAUUGAAUGAUAUUUCUAUUGCAAAUACGUUUUUUCCAGAAGCAGAAAGAAAAAUAUACUCCAGCUCCUUGCCCCCAAACUCUGAUCUGCACUGUGUAUUCUUGUGCAUCCAAAGGCGCCCAAAUUCUCUGUGAAAUGUCCUCCCUGGGCGCUUCUGUGCUACGUUUGCUUUUUGUCCCCACAUUUCCCGCCUUGAAUCUUGAUCUGGCAGUCCAGGACCAGACAACAGUAAAACUCGACCUUCCUUCAGACAGAAUUCCCUUCCGAUGGAGCUAAAAUUUUUCCACUCUGGUACCCAGGAAAUGCGGGUGCUUCCCAGAGAGCCCCUGUGCAGGCUUCAGAGCUGGCUGCUGUGUGCUCACAUUUCUCUGGCAGGCCUCCGGCGUCGAUAGCUGGGCCUGGGUAUCAAAGAGCAUGUCAGGGAUUUGAGUUCUGCUGAGUCAGCCUCACCCUCAGCUGCUUCACGUCAUGGGCGCGAGGCACACCAAGAUGCUAACAACUUUCCACUCUUCACUCACGCCACUUGUGCAAAACUUAGCUCAGGCAUCCGUUCCUCCAGAAAACCUCCAAGAGUCCAGGCUCAGCUCCCUGCUCUCCUUUAGGCUCGUGUACCGGAUACUCCAUGCUCCUCCGAAGGACCUGUCGGUCUGUGUCCCCAACAGGACAGAAGGCUCUUCAAAGGGAGUGUAUUGGAAAAUGCUCCUCCAGCUGCAAGUGACAGCAAACCAAACCCACGGGAUUAAGCACAAGAAAAUGUCUUGGCUGCAGAGGCUGAAGGUGGGGCUGGCUUCAGACGUGGCUUGAUGCAGGAGCUCAGACAAUAUUAUCAGGACUUGUUGCUGUCCAACACUCGGCAUAAGUCCAUUGGCUUCCUUCCCAGACGGACUCUCCCCUCAUACGCUCUCAGCUUCAUGUCCCGUGGGGAAGA